ensembl:lncRNA
UGUUCUUGCUGGUGUUCAGGACGAGGAUGUUGUCUAAGCACCACUGUGUCAGGUGUUGGAUCUCCUUUCUAUAGUCAGUCUCAUCAUUGUCUCGCAAACUUCACAACUGUGUUAGUGAAAUGAAUGGGAGAACAAUUGCGAGUAAAGACAUUGAAUAAGGCCGGGCUGAGCACACAGCCCUCUGGGGUGCUCGUCUUCAGGACCAGUGUGGAAGAUGUCCAGCUCCCCAUUCUUACCGCCCGAGGCCUGAUGGAGAGGAAGUCUCUGAUCCAGUAGCGCAGCGAAGUCGACAGACCCAGGUUAUGAAGCUUCAGAGCCAGCUUAUUCAGGAUCACAGUGUUGAAAACAGAGAAGAAGUCAACAAACAGCAUCCUAACAUAAGAGUUGUGAUGUUCCAGGUGGGUCAGAGCUUACAUCCUGUGUUGAACUUUCCACCUGUAUGCAAGCUGAUGUCUGUCCAGACCAACAUGGAUGCGCUUGGUCCUUGAUGUGCUUCUGAACGAUCCUCUCACAGCACUUCAUAAUUGCUGAAGUCAGGGCCACAGGACUAUAAUCACUGAGGCAAGAGACAAUCUUUUGGGUACAGAGGAUUUAAGGCAGACAGGUUGAAGAUGUCCAGAAAAACUUCUGCCAGUUAGUCAGGGCACGCCUUCAGAGUCCUGCCUGACAGCUAACACGAGAGUGAGUUUAAAUGUUUUGUUAAUAAAAACAUCCCCGUCUGAUUCUGCAUUAUAUAACCCUCCGGGGCUGCAUGUUCACAUCCGUCCGCUAGAGGGUGCUGCGGGCCCUCAUUGUAGAGCCACCCUCGUAGGCUCCUGACCCGCGUUCACCCGUACUGUACAGGCAUGGGGGAGGACCGAGCAUAGAGAACUAGUAAACGCUGUGGAGUUCCCUGUGCACACCGUGGCCAUGACUUUGACAGUACCGGCUAGCGGACGUUGCUCUCCCGUCUCCAGGCACCUGAAAGCGGACCGGUAGAGGAGGCUACACCGGAGGGAGAGGCAUUAGCUGACGCCGGCUCGAGUCGGUAAAGCAGCUUUUAUUUGAUUUUUUAACGUGUUUGUUGAGCUUGUUUCUUCACGUGAUAACUCUGCCGCUCCUCGUUCAGCGGUUUUACGUGGACGCUACCGGGAGGCGUUUUUAUUUGAGCGGUGGGGUGCAGUUGAGUGAAACAGUUUGACACUUCCAGCGAAAACAGGCUGCAAGCUUCUCCUCGGGGACGCCGGUGCAAGGUGAGCGCUGUCCUCACGUCAACCCCGGGCUGCGCCGGCCUGCUCCCUGCCUGCUGUACUCCAGCGUUAGGGAAACGCGUCGUCGUCGUCUGGCCAGUGCACUGCAGCUCUGUGACGUCCCCACGUUCACCUACACCGGCUUCCUCUUAUUGUCACCGCGCUGUGUGAAACUAGUUACUCUACAUUCUGCAGUCAGAGGUCGGUCUGUCCGUGGGCGCUUGCGUGCCAAAGUUUGCCUGAAAAGCUGCUGGAGGAUUCAGAGCCAUACAUGUC